AACGAACGAUGGCGGCAGGCUUAACACAUGCAUGUCGAAUGGGUGUAGCAAUACAUCAGUGGCAGACGGGUGAGUAACAUGUGGGAACCUUCCUAGAGGGACGGAACAACUCAGGGAAACUUGAGCUAAUACCGUAUAAGCUCUUGCGAGGAAAGAUAUAUCGCCUUUAGACGGGCCCGAUUAGGAUUAGGUAGUUGGUGGGGUAAUGGCCUACCAAGCCUACGAUCCCUAGCUGAUCUGAGAGGAUGAUCAGCCACGAUGGGACUGAGACACGGCCCAGGCUCCUAAGGGUGGCAGCAGUGGGGAAGCUUGAACAAAGGGCGCAAGCCUGAUACAGCCAUGCCGCGUGAGUGAAGAAAGCCUUCGGGUUGUAAAGCUCUUUUACCAGGGACGAUAAUGCCGGUACCUGGAGAAUAAGCCCCGGCAAACUUCGUGCCAGCCGCCGCAGUAA
rnacentral:rRNA from 1 species